AUUGAACUGAAGAGUUUGAUCCUGGCUCAGAUUGAACGCUGGCGGCAUGCCUUACACAUGCAAGUCGAACGGCAGCACGGGCUUCGGCCUGGUGGCGAGUGGCGAACGGGUGAGUAAUACAUCGGAACAUGUCCUGUAGUGGGGGAUAGCCCGGCGAAAGCCGGAUUAAUACCGCAUACGAUCUGAGGAUGAAAGCGGGGGACCUUCGGGCCUCGCGCUAUAGGGUUGGCCGAUGGCUGAUUAGCUAGUUGGUGGGGUAAAGGCCUACCAAGGCGACGAUCAGUAGCUGGUCUGAGAGGACGACCAGCCACACUGGGACUGAGACACGGCCCAGACUCCUACGGGAGGCAGCAGUGGGGAAUUUUGGACAAUGGGCGCAAGCCUGAUCCAGCAAUGCCGCGUGUGUGAAGAAGGCCUUCGGGUUGUAAAGCACUUUUGUCCGGAAAGAAAUCAUUCUGGCUAAUAACCGGAGUGGAUGACGGUACCGGAAGAAUAAGCACCGGCUAACUACGUGCCAGCAGCCGCGGUAAUACGUAGGGUGCGAGCGUUAAUCGGAAUUACUGGGCGUAAAG
rnacentral:rRNA from 1 species